rnacentral:rRNA from 1 species
GGACUACAGGGGUAUCUAAUCCCGUUCGCUCCCCUAGCUUUCGCGCCUCAGCGUCAGAAGAGGUCCAGCACGUCGCUUUCGCCACCGGCGUUCCUUCCAAUAUCAACGCAUUUCACCGCUCCACUGGAAGUUCCACAUGCCCCUACCUCGCUCAAGCCUGCCAGUAUCAAAGGCACUUUUCCGGUUAAGCCGAAAGAUUUCACCCCUGACUUGGCAAGCCGCCUACGCGCCCUUUAAGCCCAGUGAUUCCGAACAACGUUCGCACGGUUCGUCUUACCGCGGCUGCUGGCAC